rnacentral:rRNA from 1 species
AUUGAACGCUGGCGGCAGGCCUAACACAUGCAAGUCGAGCGGUAGCACAGAGAGCUUGCUCUCGGGUGACGAGCGGCGGACGGGUGAGUAAUGUCUGGGAAACUGCCUGAUGGAGGGGGAUAACUACUGGAAACGGUAGCUAAUACCGCAUAACGUCGCAAGACCAAAGUGGGGGACCUUCGGGCCUCAUGCCAUCAGAUGUGCCCAGAUGGGAUUAGCUGGUAGGUGGGGUAACGGCUCACCUAGGCGACGAUCCCUAGCUGGUCUGAGAGGAUGACCAGCCACACUGGAACUGAGACACGGUCCAGACUCCUACGGGAGGCAGCAGUGGGGAAUAUUGCACAAUGGGCGCAAGCCUGAUGCAGCCAUGCCGCGUGUGUGAAGAAGGCCUUCGGGUUGUAAAGCACUUUCAGCGGGGAGGAAGGCGGUGAGGUUAAUAACCUCAUCGAUUGACGUUGCCCGCAGAAGAAGCACCGGCUAACUCCGUGCCAGCAGCCGCCGUAA